rnacentral:lncRNA from 1 species
UUUGAGACGACAUAAGGUCGCCGAUAAGUAAUUUUUUGUUGUAAAAUAUUUGGUAUUGUACGAUAAAUAUAUUACCAAGUUUUCUAUUAUUUUUUUUUAUAAAAGGAUAUAUACGAUUAUACAAUAUCACAAAUAAAUAACUAAAUAAAUUAAAGCUAAGUGAUUAUUAGUGAAAAUAACGAGUAAUAAAGUACACUGAUUCAAGUUAUAAUAACAAUUAGUCGGUGCGUAAUCGAAGCCCCAUGUUAGCACGAGAUUUCUUUGAGAGGAGAAAACGAAACAAGUAGAAGACAAGCAACAUUUAAAUAUAUAUUUUUAAAUUAUUAUAAAAUUUAAAAUCAUGCCACUUAAAUCAUGUGCUGAUAAUUUAUUUUUAGAGUUGUCCAAAAAAAAAAAAAAAGAGUGUUGUUAAUUAGUUUGGAAUCUUAUGAAGAAACUUAAAUUCUAUUUCUAGGGUUUUGUUAUGGACCGACUCUUUAAUUUGUC